rnacentral:lncRNA from 1 species
GAUUCUGCGAUCCUUCUGCAAUGACGCCAGGACUCCCUGGAAUGGGAGUAUCUUCUACUUGCCAGGCACAAGGAGUAGAGACAACAUUCUCAGCAAAGAAGCUAGCGAGUGCCUCUCUGCACAGUUAAGCGGAACUGACAUGUCCUGAUGACUCCCGGCCCAUGGUGCACACUAAAAAGGAACAGCAAUAACAUUACCCUGAAAAGUGCGAAUUCGUC